rnacentral:rRNA from 1 species
GUCUAUGGCCAUACCUUCCUGAAUGCUCUCAAUCUCUCCUCUGAUCUCUGAAACUAAGAAGGCUAGGGCCUGUUUUGUACUUGGAUGGGAGAAAUAAAGGGUACUUCAAAUA